AAACAAUAAAAUAAACUCACUCAUAUAAUUUCGGGAAUAAGGCCUGAAAGUUUCUACCAGACAACCGUAAAUUGUUUGACUAUGAGUGAAAGAAUCUUUUAG
rnacentral:ncRNA from 1 species